GUAGGUGGCAAGCGUUGUCCGGAAUUAUUGGGCGUAAAGCGCGCGCAGGCGGUUCUUUAAGUCUGAUGUGAAAGCCCACGGGCUCAACCGUGGAGGGUCAUUGGAAACUGGAGAACUUGAGUACAGAAGAGGAAAGCGGAAUCCCACGUGUAGCGGUGAAAUGCGUAGAGAUGUGGAGGAACACCAGUGGCGAAGGCGGCUUUCUGGUCUGUAACUGACGCUGAGGCGCGAAAGCGUGGGGAGCAAACAGGAUUAGAUACCCUGGUAGUCCACGCCGUAAACGAUGAGUGCUAAGUGUUAGGGGGUUUCCGCCCCUUAGUGCUGCAGCUAACGCAUUAAGCACUCCGCCUGGGGAGUACGGCCGCAAGGCUG
rnacentral:rRNA from 1 species